rnacentral:hammerhead_ribozyme from 1 species
GCACUGAUGACGAGUCCCAAACAGGAAGAAACAGCUGUCCUGUGC